rnacentral:rRNA from 1 species
AGUGAACGCUGGCGGUAGGCCUAACACAUGCAAGUCGAACGGCAGCACAGUAAGAGCUUGCUCUUACGGGUGGCGAGUGGCGGACGGGUGAGGAAUACAUCGGAAUCUACUUUUUCGUGGGGGAUAACGUAGGGAAACUUACGCUAAUACCGCUUACGACCUACGGGUGAAAGCCGGGGAUCUUCGGACCUUGCGCGUUUGAAUGAGCCGAUGUCGGAUUAGGUAGUUGGCGGGGUAAAGGCCCACCAAGGCGACGAUCCGUAGCUGGUCUGAGAGGAUGAGCAGCCACACUGGAACUGAGACACGGUCCAGACUCCUACGGGAGGCAGCAGUGGGGAAUAUUGGACAAUGGGCGCAAGCCUGAUCCAGCCAUACCGCGUGGGUGAAGAAGGCCUUCGGGUUGUAAAGCCCUUUUGUUGGGAAAGAAAAGCAGCAGGUUAAUACCCCGCUGUUCUGACGGUACCCAAAGAAUAAGCACCGGCUAACUUCGUG